UACGUAGGGUGCGAGCGUUAUUCGGAAUUACUGGGCGUAAAGCGUACGUAGGCGGCUUUGUAAGUAAGAGGUGAAAGCCCGGAGCUCAACUCCGGAACUGCCUUUUAGACUGCAUCGCUUGAAUCCAGGAGAGGUGAGUGGAAUUCCGAGUGUAGAGGUGAAAUUCGUAGAUAUUCGGAAGAACACCAGUGGCGAAGGCGGCUCACUGGACUGGUAUUGACGCUGAGGUACGAAAGCGUGGGGAGCAAACAGG
rnacentral:rRNA from 1 species